CCCCCCCCCCCCCCCCCUCUCUCUCUCUCCUUCUCCUGCUUCUGCAGGAACCAAUGGAGCUCUGCCCCGACACCAUGGACAGGAGUCGCCGCUCCCAAGUUCCACCUCGUGUGGGCUUGCCAGGUCCCAAGCCACACCGGAUCUGGAGGGGAUCACCGCCGCCGCGCCUUUUCUCGAUCCCCACGACCUCCUCUAGCCCCGUUCCAGUCGAAGGCCACCGUCGUCGCUCUAGUUCGGCGUGACCAGUUCGUUUGCCUCAUGUCUCGUCCUCGUUGCAGGGAGGAGGAACGCCCGCGCCCAGUCCGUCUUCGAGCCAAGCCGCCGCACUGGAGCUUCUUUACUGUCCAGGAACCAGGAGCUCAAGCCCCUCCGUGGCCGCGCCCGACCUGCGCGACCCCGCCGACUGGAUCUGCUCAUCCCCGCCAUUGCCGUGCCGCCACACCGCCGUUGCAACUCCCGUCGGUCGCCGCUAAUGUCUCUACUUCACACACGCGUCGGUCAAACCACUGGCUCGACCCCUCCUGAUCGCGCAUUGACCUCCAGCGCCCCCCAAGGCCCAGCCUAGCACCAGAUCUGCCCCAAGGCCGCUGGUUGCAGGUGCCGAUGAUAGCAGUGCAGGUGAUGCUACUGAACUCAAGUGGGAGUUCGACGAGGACAUUAGUCGUUACUAUGUGUUGUUUCCUGAUGAUUAUUGGUUCAGCCCAGUUGGGACAAUCGGGGAUCUAGCAAUUGGAGAUUAUAUUCUUUUUUUUUCAUUUGGAUUUGAUCGUAGCCAGUCUAUGAGUGUAUCUUGGAUGAUGUAUGAGAUAUUUAUGUAUUGUGUGACGUGGCGAGUGUAAGCCAACUCUCUUUA